ACGGAAACAUGCUGAUUGGACCGAGAUGCCUGUAAAGGCGGAGCCACGAGAAAGGAAUGUGGUGGACAAGCCCGGGGAGGCGAAACUGAUGCGCGUAGCAAGGGGUCGGGUGUGCGUGGGCGUGGUCUGGGUAACCCGGCUUCUUCCUGGCAGUCCGCAGCAGCACCGUCUGUGAUGUCCCGGGGUCUUCCUCCUGCCGCCCGCGGUCUCGGUGUCUGUGUGAGCCGCGGCCCCCGACGGAACCCAUCUGUCCUCUCUCAGAGUGACAGAUGAUGGAGGCCGCCGCACUGGUGCAUGCGUUGCAUGGCUGAUCGGUGGUGCGGACCUUGGCGGUGCCCACCACAGCCCCAUGGCAGGCUCGUCUUCGACAAGGGCAAUUUCCAGGAGCUGACAGCUGAGUCGCCCCGCCCCCUCCGGUAGGACCGGUGGGCAGCAGAGCCGUGAUCAAACCUUGUACGAGUCCCGGGGACACAACUCCCACCGCUGGGGGAGACACAGGACAGGCCCAGCACUGACGGGUAGUAGGAGGGAACAGGAAGUGUCACUCACCUGGAGCAUUGUGGGUCCCCGUCCAGGUCCCUCACAAUAUCAGUCUGACCUCCAGAACCUGAUGCUUUCCGAAGCAUGCCCCCCCCCCCACACACACACACACACACACACACACACACACCACCGUGUUCCUGCCUAUGUAGGUCUCUGUAUGCAUGCUUGUGCUGCCCUCUCUAUGUGUGUGUGUCGUCUUCUGUGUACAUGUGUGUAGUCCUCUGUGUGUAGGAUGUGCAGCCCCGGGACAGCACACCUCUGAUGGAACCUUCUCUAUCCACCAAAGACCAAGGUAUGAUGGCAGCGUGUGCUAAGGGGGUCUGACACUGUGGUCGGCUGUGAGAACAGGACCUGCAGAGCCUCCACUCCUUUCUCCGAUCUUGGCCACAGGCCUGGGUCCCCUGACCUCCAUAUGCCCGCCUCUCUGUAAGAGGAGGGCUGCUUGGGUCAUGGAGGUCUUCGACAGAUUCUCCGACAUCCUGCACAUCUUCCUUGUCACGCCUGCCCACCGAGGAGGCCAGGCUGUAAUUGGCGCUGGCUGAAAUCCCCUUCCUCAGGUCUGCCUGGAGCAGCGACUCUGCCUGGCUAGACUAUGAAGGAAGAGGCUCCCCGUACAUCAUGGGGUCAGGUAAGGCUGCCAGCUGUCAUGUUGGGGAACACUAGUACCACGCUGACAGCCCCUCUCCCCACAGUGCAAGGAGGCUGCAAUGCAGCUGGUGCAGGAACUGCCCCAGACAGCGCUGCUCUCGUCACCAUUGUCAUCAGCCAGGCCACCAAUGGCAGGUUCUGGAAUCUGUUCCAUGAAGACCACUAAUAGUCCCUCCCCUUCCUCUCUCCCAGAAUGGUUGUCAGCUCAUUAAAGAAGGAUUUGCACUCUCUCA